rfam:Betaproteobacteria bacterium RIFCSPLOWO2_12_FTLL_62_13 rifcsplowo2_12_scaffold_37132, whole genome shotgun sequence.
GAGGGUAGGCCCCUCGAGAUCGGUUUUCAGGAGCAGAUCUCAAAUCACCUCCAGCUGCUGAGGUCAAAAGCCGAGGUGGUGAGCACCGGAGGAAAAGGCUCGGCAGA